GAUGAACGCUGGCGGCAUGCCUUACACAUGCAAGUCGAACGGCAGCAUGACCUAGCUUGCUAGGUUGCUGGCGAGUGGCGAACGGGUGCGUAAUGCAUCGGAACGUGCCUGUUAGUUGGGGAUAACUUAGCGAAAAUUACGCUAAUUCCCCAUAUUCUCUGAGGAGUGGAGCCACUGUCCUUCUAACCUUUCGCUCGAUAAGCGGCCGCUUUCGGCUUAUCUAGUUGGUGAGGUAAAGCCUCACCAAGGCAACGUUCCGUCGGGGGACUGAGUGGAUGAAACGACACACUAGGACUGCACCACGGCACAGACUCGUACGGGACGCAGCAGUGGAGAAUGUUGGACAAUGGGCGCAAGCCUGAUCCAGCCCUGCCGCGUGAGUGAAGAAGGCCUUGGGGUUGUAAAGCUAAUUCGGCUGGGAAGAAAUCGAACCCUCUAAAAUAGUGCGUGGAUGACGGUACCAGAAGAAGAAGCACCGGCUAACUACGUG
rnacentral:rRNA from 1 species